UACGUAGGGUGCAAGCGUUAAUCGGAGUUACUGGGCGUAAAGCGUGCGCAGGCGGUUUUGUAAGUCUGUCGUGAAAUCCCCGGGCUCAACCUGGGAAUUGCGAUGGAGACUGCAAGGCUGGAGUCUGGCAGAGGGGGGUAGAAUUCCACGUGUAGCAGUGAAAUGCGUAGAGAUGUGGAGGAACACCGAUGGCGAAGGCAGCCCCCUGGGUCAAGACUGACGCUCAUGCACGAAAGCGUGGGGAGCAAACAGG
rnacentral:rRNA from 1 species